rnacentral:tRNA from 1 species
GGGGAUAUGGCGAAAUUGGUAGACGCUACGGACUUUUGUAGUAGGAGGAAAAUCCGUCGACUUUAGAAAUCGUGAGGGUUCGAG